AGAACCGUUCCCUAAGAAUUGAGUGAGAAUCUAAGUGUACAACAAAAACUAUAACAUAAGAAAAGGAAAGAAACAAAUCUGGCAAUUUGUUUAACUAUUCAGUAUCCAAUUAGAGUCUGUUCUUCCACGUAGCUCCACCCCCAAGGUGUUGUGCUCCAUAGGCCGCAGUUGAACCUACCGUUGUCAUGGCUACUAACCAGCUGAGGUAAGUGAUAUAUGUUUGAGUUUCGGCAUUACCCAGAUCCGGUUGAAGGAGAGCUGCAGCAACAAGGGCCAAUUGCAGAACUGUAUUUACCUUGCUUAUCAAAAGAGGCUCAACUUUCUGAGGACGGGCUCCAUCAAGGUUGAAGAAUUCAUACCAGCUUGACCACUUCCACUCUAAUAUGCUAGCUCUUUUAUAUACCGCACCACCA
rnacentral:misc_RNA from 1 species